ensembl:lncRNA
GAAGAGCCUGUGCGGCAGCCGAGACCCGCACAGCCAAAAUAGAUAAGUCUAUUCUAGGAAUUAGAGAUAAAACCAUGAAGAAAACAAAGUCUCAACUCUUAAGAUAGUAUGGUUGGGAAAGAGACCAGCGAAAGACAAUGAACAAAGAUAUGUCAUAUCCAGCUCUACCACCCCAUGGAUGGUAACCCGCAGACUCCUCUGUCCUGAGGAUAUAGUGAAGAGCAAACAAACAGGGGACCUGUUUUCAACUGAGCCUAAAUUCUUGCAACAGAAACCAAAGAUAAAGUUUGAAAGUAGAGACUUGUGCAUAGAAAACUGUUAGCUAUUCAGAAAAGUCAAAAGAAUAGUAUGGUGACCACUUACAUACCACCUACCUAGAUUCAGAUUAAUCUAAAGCAUUAUUUUUGUCCUGUCCUCCCCUUAGGCACUAAAGUCCAAUGACUCUUCUAGUAUUUCGGUACAGUUCAGUCUUCCUCAAAGUUUGCUUUAGGAGCUGACCAUCACUUGAGCACUACCAUGUGGCAGGCCAGGCCUAAUUUUGACAACCGUAAGGAAUGUGUUUCCUGUCAGAGAAAUGUUGGACAAAGUUUCUAUGGAGGGUUGUGGGAUCUACUGUAAACUUUUGAAGGAAAGACUUCUCUCCUUUUGGGACAUAUCUAAAGGAGUGGGUUGCCAUUUCCUUCUCCAAUGCAUGAAAGUGAAAAGUGACAGUAAAGUGUCUCAGUCGUGUCCAACUCUCAGCGACCCCAUGGACUGCAGCCCACCAGGCUCAUCUGUCCAUGGGAUUUUCCAGGCUGCCUUCCUGAUCUCACAUGAAGAUACAAAAGCCUAGAGGGACUUGCCAAGUACACACAGUGGUAAUUGACAAAGGUGCUAAUGAAGUAGUGCCAAGACCCUGCAGGAUACCACAGAAACAUCCGGAGUAGAGCGCAUGCGUAUUUUCUCUCCCAUGAUAAAAGGAUCUUCCAG